GAAGAGUUAGAGCACUCGCUUCACAAGCCAGAAGAUCCUGUUUCGAUUACCAGGGAAUGUCACAAACUAGAUGGACAGAAGGAAAGAUUACAGACCUGUCAAUGAUGGAUUUGAUAUCCUGAAAA